rnacentral:rRNA from 1 species
AGAGUUUGAUCCUGGCUCAGAACGAACGCUGGCGGCGUGCUUAACACAUGCAAGUCGAACGAGAAUUACGUAGCAAUACGUAUAGUAAAGUGGCGCACGGGUCCGUAACACGUGGAUAAUCUUCCUUUAGGCAAGGCACAACCUGUCGAAAGACGGGCUAAUACCUUAUAAGACCACGAAAUCUUUGGAUUUUGGGGUAAAAGGUGGCCUCUAUUUAUAAGCUAUCACCUUUAGAUGAGUCCGCGCACCAUCAGCUUGUUGGUAGGGUAAUGGCCUACCAAGGCAAAGACGGUUAGCUGGUCUGAGAGGACGACCAGCGACACUGGAACUGAGACACGGUCCAGACUCCUACGGGAGGCAGCAGUGGGGAAUUUUGGACAAUGGGCGAAAGCCUGAUCCAGCAACGCCGCGUGAGUGAUGAAGGCCUUCGGGUUGUAAAGCUCUGUCGGAGGGAACGAAUAAAGGUCACCUAAUACGUGAUCAGAUGACGGUACCCUUAAAGGAAGCAACGGCUAACUCUGUGCCAGCAGCCGCGGUAAGACAGAGGUUGCAAGCGUUGUUCGGAAUCACUGGGCGUAAAGGGCGUGUAGGCGGCGAAGUAUGUCGGACGUGAAAUCCCUCGGCUUAACUGGGGAAGUGCAUCCGAAACUACUUUGCUUCGAGUACGAGAGGGGGUGGCGGAAUUCCUAGAGUAGAGGUGAAAUUCGUAGAUACUAGGAGGAA